GGGCGGUUAGCUCAGCGGCAAGAGCGCUUGCUUCACACGCAAGAGGUCAGUGGUUCAAGUCCACUACCGCCCA
rnacentral:tRNA from 1 species